AGUGAACGCUGGCGGUAGGCCUAACACAUGCAAGUCGAACGGCAGCACAGUAAGAGCUUGCUCUUACGGGUGGCGAGUGGCGGACGGGUGAGGAAUACAUCGGAAUCUACUUUUUCGUGGGGGUUAACGUAGGGAAACUUACGCUAAUAUCGCAUACGACCUACGGGUGAAAGCAUUGGAUCUUCGGACCUUGCGCGAUUGAAUGCGCCGAUGUCGGAUUAGCUAGUUGGCGGGCUAAAUGCCCUCCCAGGCGACGAUCCGUAGCUGGUGUGGGAGGAUGGUCGGCCGCCUGGGAGGUGGGCCACGGACAAGGCUCCUGAGGGAGGCAGCAGUGGGGAAUGGUGGACAGUGGGGGCGAGCCUGAUCCAGCCAUACCACGUGGGUGAAGAAGGCCUUCCGGUUGUAAUGACCGUUUGUUGGGAGAGAAAAGCAGCAGGUUAAUACCACGCUGGUGUGACGGUACCCGAAGAAUAAGCACCGGCUAACUUCGUG
rnacentral:rRNA from 1 species